rnacentral:rRNA from 1 species
CAAUAGCGUAUACUAAAGUUGUUGCAGUUAAAAGCUCGUAGUCGAAUACGGAUUUUCGCAUGCGGUUUCUCUAAGGUGAAAGUCUCAAGAGAAAUGUGCAAGUAAAAUCCAAACAUGUUAUCUUUUUUUCUUAAUUUUAUUGUCUUUUAAUUUUAUAUUGAAAACAAAAAAUUUGAUAAAAUUAGUGGCAUCAUUUACUGUGAACAAAAUAGAGUGUUCAUGGCAGGCCUUUUAUGGCUUAUAUACCUCAGCAUGGAAUAAUAGAAUAGGACUUCCGGUUCCAUUUUAUUGGUUUUUAGAGCCGAAGUAAUGAUUAAUAGGGAUAGUUGGGGGCACCCGUACUCCGUUGUCAGAGGUGAAAUUCUUGGAUUUACGGAAGACGAACAACUGCGAAAGCAUCUGCCAAGGAUGUUUUCAUUGAUCAAGAACGAAAGUUAGGGGAUCGAAGACGAUUAGAU